rnacentral:lncRNA from 1 species
UUGAUGGAUGAACAUCCACUAAUUUGGUACAACCUUCCAAAAUCAAAACUUCAAGAUUUGAUGCUGUUGUGAAGUCUGGUAUCUUGAUCAGGUUUUGAGACCCUUUGAGGUUGAUUAUUUUCAACUUAUACAAGGGCUGUUGAAGACAAUAAAUAAUUAGACAGAAAACAUAAUAAUGCUGAUUUUUGUGUUCAUUACCUUAACCAAAGCUUAAUCAUUAAUAUUAAAAUAAGCUAAAAUGAUGAGUUAAUUCUUACUUUGUUUCCCUUCCAUAGUUGUUCAAUGUGACUAUAUGGUAAAAGAAGUGCGACAAGGUUGUCCGGUUGAAAGCUUGAAGGCAAGUAUCUUAAAGGAUAUCCUUUCCAGUCUAAAAGUCUUAGCUCAUUAGAAAGAUAUUUGAUAUCAUCACAAUUUGAGACACAAAGCACUUUGAGCAAUCUCAAUUUUUUCAUCUUCGAGAAGGUAUCGGUACUCAAAUUGAGGAUCUUGCUUGAUUCCCUAAUAACCAUGAGCAAAAUAAAAAUAAACUUAAGAAUAUACAAAAACAUUCAAUAUCUAAAAGCCAUGCUGGAUCAAUAUUACUUUUUUAAGUAUCCAUAUCUAGCACUUAUAUCUAUUGCAUAUCUGAAUAUGGUAUUGAGAUAUGAUUAAUAACAUAUUAGAAAAUACUUUAUCUAACACUUAUAUUCGACUUUUAAUUACCUAAGCCUAAAAAAAUGGAACUAUUAUUUUGAUUUAUGUUCGGUGCACUGAUGUAUAGUUCUAUACAUUACCAGUGAACCAAAUGGUGGCAUGACCUGAAUUUAUUUUUAAAAACUUUUAAUGACAUGUUAUAACCUAGUUCAUUGAUAUAGAUUUUCAUUACAUCAAAUAUAAACCAUUAACAUUAGCAAAGACAAUGACACACAUCUCUUUAUAAUUUCUUUUGAAAGAGUAAUGUGUUCCUAUAUAAAUUUUAUAAAUAGAACAUAAAAAAAAAUUACGCUUUAAGGGUGUACUUGGUUGAGUGGAAAUGUCAAGGGAUAUGAGGAUGAAUUGUGCUUGGUAAAGAAGAAAAGUGAGAAGAAAAAAAAAGGGGAGAAAUGAUCAUUUUAUAUUAGUGAGAAGGGAAAUGUAGUAUCUACAAUACUAGGAGUACAUAUUGAUAAAUUUAUAUGUUUCUUUUCCUACCUUUUAUUGUCUAUGAUCAUGCCUUCUAUCACUUCGGUAGCCUGAAAGUAAUCAAGAAUCGAUAAUAAGAAGAUAAAAUUAAUGCUCUAAAUUGUAUGAUAAAACUUUUAAAAAUUUACCUACAUGUUCAACAUUAUAGCAAUCUUUUGGUCGAAAUACAGUAAAUAAAAUAUAUUCUAAGAGAGUAAUUCAAUAAAAUUAAACAUUUAAUUUACAAAUCAUUAUUAAUAUUUAUAAUCAACAAAUGAAAAUUAUCUUAAAGCUACUCAAUGUCACUUAAGGAUUGAUAUAUAAACAAAUUAGACUAAACUUUAGAUUUACACCAUAUAUUGAUAAAAAGAAAAUUUUGUAUGUAAAUUUUGUUUAAUGGUUUACCGUUUUUUUUGUUAGAACAUGAUGAACAUCCUUUUCCUUCCACAAUCUGCAACGUUUUCCAGGUUCAUUAAUACAUUUUUCUUCAACAAUUUUUCUUCCCAUUUCUUGCAACAAGGCAUGCAUCCACAAAUAUUGGUUGUCGUCAUCAACUUUUAUGAGAGAUUUCUUAAAGAGAACAUCAAUUCCAAUAUCUGGGAAAAACUCACAACCAUCCAAUACUUUCAUUACCAAAUCUUUCUUCUCCCCAUUAAAAAAACAUGCUAUAUCUAGAAAUAUAUUCUUCUCCCUUUCUUCUAAUCCAUCAAAGCUGAUUCUUAGUGUGUUAAGAAUUUCUCUGUUACAAUCUUGUUCAAGUCUUUCAAUUGCACUUCUCCAUUGAACUAUAUCUCUACCGCACAAAAAUGAACCCAAAACUUCAAGAGCUAAGGGAAGACCAUCAACAUAAUGUACAACAUGUUCAGAAAGUUGAUUGAAAUCAUCUUUUGUAGUUGUAUCACCACCAAAAGCUUUCAAAUUGAAAAGCCUUAGUGCAUCGUUGGUGUUCAAUGUUGUAGGCUUAUACACAUCAUCGAUUCGAUAAGAUCGGAGCAAAUGUUCAUCUCUUGUUGUUACAAUGAUCCUACUACCUAAACUGAACCAAUCACGCCUUCCAACCAAGCAUUUCAAGUGUUGUACAUUAUCAACAUCAUCAAGAACAACAAGAACUUUUUUGCUAGACAACCUGCGGCUAAUUAUGGCAUUCCCUUCAUGAACAUUGAAAAAAUUGAAGCAUUCAUUUGGCAAUAUUUGAUAAAGAAGUUGUUUCUGUAAAGAAACAAGUCCAUACUUGUUUGAAACUUCUCGAAUAUCAGCAAGAAAGGUUUUACCUUCAAAAUGAGGUGACAUUUGAGUGUAAACAACCCUUGCAAGAGUUGUUUUACCGAUGCCACCCAUUCCACAAAUUCCUAUAAUGCGGACAUCGUCUUCCCCAAUAUUUAUUUUCGAAUACAACUGCUCCAAACGUGAACUAAUUCCAACCAACUCAUCAUGAAGAACUGGAUAUGUCUGACAUAAUUUUGCUGAUAUCUUCUUAACGAUGUCUCCAAUAAACUCUGAUUCAUGCCUACAAUGAAAUUAAAUUUAGAUGCUAUAUUUCAAAUGCACUUCUUCAUUUUUAGUUCAGUGAAUAAUGAAAUAUAAUAUAGUUGGAAGCAAACAAAAAGCAAAAAUAAGACAGCAAGAUCUGUUAUAGCAUCAAAUGACACAACUUGCUCCUUAGUUGAAAUAUGGGAAUUCUCAAUUACACACAAAAUUAUAUUAAAAAAAAUGCAAUCCAAGAAAAAAAUAGUCAUUAAAAUUAGAAAAUAUAGAAGAAAAGAAAGAAAUACCUAUUAUGUAAAUGCCAUCCUUUGAUGUUAGCUACUUGAGUCAAAGCAUUUCGCCACUUUUGGAUCUUGUCUGUAUCUUCCUUGUACCUCUCUUGGUGUUUGGCGAAGGCUUCUUCAACUUUUCCUUUUUGUUUUCUUAAAUCGGAUGGAUCCACAUCAUAGAAAAUUGGAAAUACUUUAUGUCCGUUCACAUUUUUUUGUUGAACAAUCUCAGCAAGCUCCUCCAAGCACCAUCCUGAAAAGGUAUAGGUUUUUGAAAAAACGAUGACCGAGCACCAUGAUUGCUGAAUUGCAUUGAAGAGUUCAGGUGCGAUCUCUUCACCAGCCUCCAGCUUUGGAUCAUCUCUGAAGGUGACGAUCCCACUCCUCUUUAGAGCAUCAUAAAGAUGAUCCGUGAAGUUGUUGCGAGUAUCUUCACCUCUAAAACUCAAGAAAACAUCAUAUUUCUUUUUAGAAAUGGAGGAAGAAGUUGACGGUAACGAUAACAUGAGGAUGUAUGAAAGGAGAUGGAUAUCUCAAUCUGGUGUUCAAAAUCAGAAAAUAGAUCGCCCGAUACCCACAAAGAAACUAGAAAAAGUAAGUAUAUGAGCAUAUAUAUGAGCAGAGGGGCGGAAAUUAGGGGUCAAAAGAUGAGCAAUGGAUGUUCUUGCCAAGAAGUAUCCAAGAAGGUGAGAGUUGGCAAAAUGGAAAUUACGUAAUAAUUAAAAAGUUGGACGGUUUGUAUUUUACGUAUUUAAGAAUUAUGAGUAGAUAAGAUUAUGACUAAUAAUUAGAAUUAAUUUAUGGGCGGGUUAAAAAGUUUACCAAGCAACCAACUACUCGCAUCCACACGUGGAAGAUUUCUAUCUCCAGAUACAGAUCCAUUUCGACCGGCUUGUCCAGAAUUUCUACAAUGGAUAACAGCUCUGGAGAUGAUAACCCUGGCAGGGCAGAAGUAUUUUUUUUUUAAGGUACAAACUUAAAUUGUAACUUUUAUUAUAGUAAAAAUAUAAUUUUACAAUUUUAAUAGUUUAUAUCUUCAUAAUAUUUAAAAGAUUAAAUUAAAUUUUUAUUAUUUUUAAGAGGGUCAACGUGUAAUUUUGUUUUUAUUAAUUUAAAGUUUUAUCAUAUCAUUUUUUAUUUAUUAAAUGUGUGGUAUUUAUAUCUAGGAUGAUUCAACUUUUAAUUUCAAAAUGCAUUUUGCCUUUCUUUGAUUUACUACUCUCAAUAUCAAUUUCGUGUUGGUGUUAUGAACACCAAUAUAUUUCUAGUUCCAUCACAUCAAUCAAUGUUCCCAAUAUAAUGAAUCUAUUUGUACCAUCAAACAAUCACAAAGAAACUUAACUAAAUAGGAGAAAAAACCUAUUUGUACGAAAGGGCUAGUGAAGUAGUUUACACAAUUAUUGCUUCUUCCCUGAUCGGCCGGUUAUAAAAUUGAAAAUGUUUUGCAGCCGUUUAGGCUUCGGCCCUUCUUCCUCUGUUUCCUCGUCGAUAUCACGUUUUCGUUUUACAAAGGAAGUGCUGCCUGCGGAUCCAUCGUUUUCAGUAGAGUGAUGAUGGAUAUGUUCAAAGUUUGGAGAAGAUUGAGUGGUAUGGCACUGCACCUCUUUUAUAUCUUCCAAAUCUUUCUCAUACAUUAUUCUAACACCACACUUCUUCACAUUAACAGAAGGAUACCUUUUUGCAGAUUGGAAGGACAUCUCAAGCGAUAAAUUCUUGGUUUCCCAAUUAUCCUUUAAGGAUAAUGGAUAAAAUACUUCACGCGAGAAAUAACGAAGUAAAAGGUGGUCCUUCUUUAUGGGUCGUCGAUCAAAAUCAAUGAAAUUGAAAUCGACCCUUCGACUAUUUUUAACUUGAAAAACAGAUCCAUCACUACUAGAUUGUCCAGAAUAUGUAGAAUGGAUAUAAGCUGGACCACCGAUAACCUUUAUCUCGGAACCAUCAUCAUCGCCAAAAAUGCAGCAGACAGCAACUCCAAUCCAUUGUCUGUCAUUCUGAAUAUUGAAAGGCAAAGGUAUUUCAAUUACAGAGCCGCCUCUCUGUUGGCUGAACCAUUCUGGGAUUUCACUGCCAGGUAUAACAACAUCAAGUCUUUUUCUUGAAUUCUCAAAUGCCUGCAAAUUAAAACAUCAGUCGUUCUUGAAUUUGCAAAAUAAAAUAUCGGUGGUUCUGUAACUAAAACCAUGAAAAAAAAAAAAAAAGAGGGAUCAAUGAACCUUAAUAUGUGUUUUCAGCAAUGUUAUUGCACUCAUGUUCUCAGCCAAUCUGUAGCUGUUAAUGGCUAUAAAGUAAGACCGAUUAUGUUUCCAAUCACUUGUCUUCUUUGCUAGAAGCACAGGCAACGAUUCAAGCUCACUGCAAUUACACACUCCAAGCCUUUGAAGAUUGGAAAGACGAGCAAGAGACGCACCUAUGCUGGUGAAAUUGUUACCAUGAAGAUCAAGAAUUCUCAAUGAGGAUAGACCAGAAAUAUCACUAGGAAUAUCUCCUUCACCCAUAUUGCGCAGGCCGCACCUUGACAAACUAAGUUCUUCAAGCUUGGAGAGCCCAGUAAGAGAUGCCGGUAUUCUGUUGAAAUUGUUAACGCUAAGAUCAAGAAAUGCCAAAGAGGAUACACAAGAAAUAGCACUAGGAAUAUCUCCUUCACCAAGAUUGCAGCCCCUUAGUUUCAACUUUGUUAAUGACCUCAAACCGGAUAAUGAAGGUAGCAUUGGAGCUAUGAAAUUCAUCCUUCCUGUUUGGCGUACCUUGAAAAGCGAAAGGAGAUUUCUUUUCAACUUAUACGGACCCUUGCAUCCAUCAAAAGACAAAACUUUAAGAUUUUUCAAUUGAGAAAUGAAGGAUGGUGGUUCUUUUAUGGCUGUUUCACACAAGUCAAGCUUUUCCAAAGAUUCUGCUUGAUGCAAAUUCUCUGGCAAAUAUUCAACUUUAUAACAACCAGAAAGAUCAAGAGUUUUUAGAUGUUCCAUUUUCCCAUCAAUCUCUGGAAACCUUGCAAGAUUUGAGCAACCCGAAAGAAUUAAAGUUUCAAGGGAUUCCAUUUCAAUUUUGGUUGGAAGUCUCCUAAGACUUUUGCAAUCUCUUAAAUUCAAAAGUUUCAGUCUCUUAAGCACUCCAAGUGAUGGAUGAACAUCUACUAAUCUGGUACAAUCUUGCAUAAUCAACACUUCAAGAUAUGGGGCUGUUGUGAAGUCUGGUGUCUUGAUGAGGUUUUGGGACCCUUUAAGGCUGAUUAUUUUCAACUUAUACAAGGCCUGUCCAAAACAAUAACAGAUUAGAGAGAAAAGAGAAAACAUAAUAAACCUCAUUAUUAUUAUCUUAUUCAAAUUUUAACAGUUUAUAAUAUUAAAAACUUAAUAGUUUAUAUUAAAAUAAGCUAAAACACAAGGAUUAGAUGAAUUUAAUUCUUACUCUAUUUCCCUUCCAUAGUUGUUCAAUGCGACUAUAUGGUAAGAGAAGUAUGACAAGGUUGUCCGGUUGAAAGUUUGAAGGCAAUGAUUUUAAAGGAUAUCCUGUCCAAUCUAAAAAUCGUAGCUCAUUGGAAAGAUAUUUGAAAUCAUUACAAUUUGAGACGCAAAGCACUCUCAGCAAUCUUAAUUUUUUCAUCUUCAAGAAGACAUUGACACUCAAAUUGAGCAUCUUGCUUGAUUCUCUACAAAACCACGGGCAAACAAAAAAUAAGCAUUAAAAUAUACAAAAACAUUCAAUACCUAAAAGCUAUGUUUCUCCAAUAAUACUAUUUUUUAGGAUUUUCAUCCCUUACUUAUACCUAACAUGUGUCCAAAUAUGAGCAUUGAUAUAUGAUCCCUCAAGAACUCUUUAAAUAUAUAUGAAAAAACUUCUUAAAAAAAUCACACAUACCCAUUUUAGACAUAUAUCCCAUUUGACUUCGAAUUACCUAAGUUUUAAAAACUAGAAUUAAAAUCUUGAUUUAUAUUGGUGCAAUGAUAAUGCAUAAUUUUAUUUAUUAUUACUGAACGAAACAAUAACACAUCAUUAAAAAUUUAAUUGGUUUUAUUUUGAAAAUUUUUUGAUGACAUAUUAAAAUCUUAUUUAUAAAGAUACACCAUAGUGCAUCAAAUAUAAGCAUUUAAUAUUAGCAAGGAUAUAUCUUGAUUGUGUUUCUUUUGAAAGUGUUAUGCCUUGCUAGAUAAAUUUCAUAAAUAUAACAUUAAAUAUUAAGCAUUAAUGGUUUUUUUUUUCCAUCGAUUUUCAUUGGAUACUUUUACCAAAAAAAACCAAUAACAAUAUUAAUAAUACACAUCAUAAAUGUGUAUGUAUGUUUUCUUACCUUUGAUUGUCAAUGAUCAUGCUUUCAAUCAUUUCUGUAACCUAAAAAAGCAAGAAUAGAGAAUAAAUAACUUUUUGAUCGAAAUAGAGUAAAUAGAUCAUUUUAAAUAAGGUAAAACAUUUCCGAUGAGAGAGAUUCAAUUAAAUUAAAUACUUAUUUAUACAAAUCCUUAUUAACAGUAAUCAUCAACAAAAGGCAUUUAUGUCAGUCAAAUUUUUAAUGUACUCCUAUAUUAAUCAAUUGGACUAAGCCUUACUCAAUUUUAUUUCAGAAAUAAAGUAAAAUAUUUUCGAAUGAGAGUAAUUCAAUAAAAUUAAAAACUUAUAUUACAAAUCAUUAUUAAUAUUUAUAAUCAACAAAUGGAAAUUAUUUUAAAGCCACUCAAUGUCAGUUAAGGAUCGAUAUGUAAACUAAUUAGGCUAAAUUUUAGAUUUAUAUCAUAUAUUGAUAAAAAGAAAAUUUUGUAUAUAAUUUUUGUUGAAUGAUUUACCGUGUUUUUUGUUAGGACAUGAUGGACAUCCCUUUCUUUCCACAAUCUACAACGUUUUCCAGGUUCAUCAACACAUUUUUCUUCAACAAUUUUUCUUCCCAUUUCUUGCAACAAGGCAUGCAUCGUCAAACGUUUGUUGUCAUCACUAACUUUUAUCAAAGAUUUCUUAAUGAGAAUAUCGAUUCCAAUAUCUAGAAAAAACUCACAACCAUCCAAUGCUUUCGUUAUAAAAUCUCUCUUCUCACCAUUGAAAAAGCAUGCUAUAUCUAGAAAUAUAUUCUUCUCUUUUUCUUCCAAUCCAUCAAAGCUAAUUCUUAGCGUGUUAAAAAUUUCUUUGUUAGAAUCUUUUUUAAGUCUUUGGAUUGCACUUCUCCAUUGAACUAUAUCUCUAUCGCACAAAAAUGAACCCAAAACUUCAAGAGCUAAGGGGAGACCACCAGCAUAACUUACAACAUCUUCAGAAAGCUCAAUGAAAUCAUCUUUUGGCACUGUAUCACUAUGAAAAGCUUUCAAAUUGAAAAGUCUAAGUGCAUCGUCUGGAUUCAAUGUUUUAGGCUUAUACACACAAUCGACUCCGUAAGAUCGGAGUAAAUGUUCAUCUCUUGUUGUUACAAUGAUUCGACUCCCUAAACCAAACCAAUCACGCCUUCCAACCAAGCAUUUCAAGUGCUGUACAUUAUCAACAUCAUCAAGAACAACAAGAACCUUUUCACUGCACAACCUGCGGCUAAUUAUGGCAUUCCCUUCAUGAACAUUGAAAAAAUUGAAGCAUUUAUUUGGCAAGAUUUGAGAAAGAAGUUGUUUCUGUAAAGAAACAAGUCCACAUUUGUUUGAAACUUCUCGAAUAUCAGCAAGAAAGCUUUUGCCUUCAAAAUGAGGUGACAUUUGAGUGUAAACAACCCCUGCAAGAGUUGAUUUACCGAUGCCACCCAUUCCGCAAAUUCCUAUAAUGCGGACAUCAUCUUCCCCAAUGUUUAUUUUCGAAUACAAGUCCUUCAAAGGUAAGCUAAUUCCAACCAAUUCAUCAUGAACAAUUGGAUAUGUCUCACAUAAUUUGGCUGAUAUCUUCCUAACAAUGUCUCCGAUAAACUCUGAUUCAUUCCUACAACGAAAUAAAAAAUUGUUUCUAUCUUUCAAAUGCUCUUUGUCAUUUGUAGUUCAAUGAAUCAUGAAAUAUAAUAUAGUUGGAAGCAAAGAAAAAGCAAGAAUAAGACAGUAAGAUAUAUUAUGGCAUCAAAAAACACAACUUUCUCGUUAGAAUUCUUAAUUAAACACAAAAUUAUAAAAAAAUUACAUGCAAUCUAAGAAAAAACAAUUUUUUAGUCAUUAAAAUUAGGAAAUAGAGAAGAAAUGAAAGAAUUACCCAUUAUGUAAAUGCCAUCCUUUGAUCUUAGCUACUUCAGUCAAAGCAUUUCGCCACUUUUCGAUCUUGUCUUUAUCUUCCUUGUACCUCUCUUCAUGUUUGGCAAAGGCUGCUUCUACUUUUUCUUUUUGGUUUCUUAAAUCGGAUGGAUCCACAUGGUAGAAAAUUGGAAAUACUUUAUGUCCAUUAGCAUUUUUUUGUUGAACAAUCUCAGCAAGCUCCUCCAAGCACCAUCCUGAAAAGGCAUAGGUUUUUGAAAAAAUAAUUACCGAGCACCAUGAUUGUUGAAUUGCUUUGGAGAGUUCGGGGGCGAUCUCUUCGCCAGCCUCCAGCUUUGGAUCAUCCCUGAAGGUGACGAUCCCACUACUCUUUAGAGCAUCAUAAAGAUGAGCCGUGAAGUUCUUGCGAGUAUCUUCACCUCUAAAACUCAAGAAAACAUCAUAUUUCUUUCUUGAAAUGGGCGAAGAAGUCGAAGGUAACGACAACAUAAGGAUGUAUGAAAGGAGAAGGAUACCUCUAUCUGGUGUUCAAAAUGAGAAAAUAGAUCUCCCGAUCCUCGCAAAGAAAGUAGAAAAAGUAAGUAUAUGAGCAUAGGGGUGGAAAUUAGGGGGUCAAAGAUGAGUGAUGUAUGUUCUUUCCAAUAAGAAUCCAAGAAGGUGAGAGUUGGCAAAGUGGAGGCUGUUAAAAAUGUUGGACGGUUUGUAUUUUUCGUAUUUAAUAAUUAUAGAGUAGAUAAGAUUAUGACAAUAAUCAUUAGAAUAUAUCUUUAAUAAUUAUUCUUCGUUAUGGGCUGGUUUAAAAGUUGACCAAAUAACCAACUACUCGCAUGACACGUGGAAAACUUCUAUCUCGAAAGACAGAUCCAUUUCAGCUGCUUAAGAUUAUUUUUGGUUAGAGCCGACCCGAUUAAUGAACAAAUAAAUAAAAAUAAGAAAAAAAUUUAAAAUAUGAACACAACGUGGAAAAACUCUCUGAAAAUGAUAAAAAAUCACAGGUAAUGAUAAUUUUAUUAUAAUGGUAAAAGAAUGAAUGGUACAAAAGAUGAAGAUAAAAAUUAAACUCCGAAAACAAAGAACUCUCAAAACAUAAACACAAAAUUCUCUAAAAGUGUUAUGAAUUCUAAUCUCUAAUAGGUGUAUUUUCUAAUACUGUAAAAAAAUUCUAUUGAUAGGCUAAAUUCGUAUGUGAAAUAAUAAUAAAAUAAUCUAGACUAAUCAGAUUUUGAUUGAAACAAAUAAAUAGAGUUUAAUUGGAAGAUUAUUUAUCAAAUUUGACUGAAAUAUGAGUCAUACUCAACAAAUCUCCACAUUGACUGGUAUUUCCACAACGCCACCUUUGCUAAAGCCUACCAAGAGCCUAUCUUGACCUAUGUAGGGAAUUAAUUGAGUUGAAUUUGUGUUUAGAAGCUGGAAUGCUUCUAGACUUCAACUUGUGCAUUGUCAAAUCAAAACUAACCCGGAUCUGAUUUUCACAAACACAAUGCUCUAACUUUUUAAAAUCGACAUCUAAAAGAGAACCUCCGCUCCAAACGAGUUAACUUUGACUCCGUAAUAGAUGAGGGACGUCCGAUUUCACUAAUCACUGUAGAACCUUUAAAAAAAUAAAGACUGUCGGUCCUUUUACCUUUUAACAAACUGAGAGUCCCACAAGACACCUUAAUGUCGUUAGACUCGAUGUUGAUUCUGUAACUUUUCGAGUCUAAAUUACUUAAGCAGAUGAGAUUCUUUCGUAAAUCAGGUACAUACCUGACAUCUGAGAAUGCCCUAAUCGCCUCAUCGUGCAUCCUAAUUUUAUAGUAACAAUACCAAUUACCUUACCAGAUGAAUCAUUUCCCAUACGCUUAGCUCCACCUUCAACCGAACUGUAUGUGAAGAACCAUUCUCUAUUGGGACACAUGUGGAAAGAACAUCCCGAAUCUCGGAUCCACUUGGACAUAAGCUCAGAACUACCGCUUGUUAACACUAAUAAAAAAUCAUCACCGCUUUUGUCGGCCAAAUUAGCACAAGCUACACCUUCCUCAUUGCUCUCAAUAGCCUUUUUAAUUUGCAGUUUAUAACAAUCUGCUUUGACGUGACCUAACUUCUAACAAUAGCGAAAUCUUUUGUCUCGCUUCUUUCGCUUCUUUGAUGUUACCAAAAUAGAAGCUUGCCUAUUUUCCUUGCUAUCCAAACCAAACUCAUUGUUGAGUUUAUCUUUGCUUAACAAAUGACCCUUCACGUCCUCCAAUGAGAGAUUAUCUCUCCUAUAAGUCAUUGUUUCCCUGAAAGACUUGUAUAAAGGGAGUAAAGAGCACAAAGAUAAUAUAGUCUGCUCCUCAUCAUCAAUUUGAACCUCAACGUUAUUUAAAUCAUUUAAAAGAGUAAUGAAUUGACUGAUGUAAUCUCUAAGAAGCUCACAUUUGUUCAUGCGAAAUGUAAAUAGUUGUUGCUUUGGAGAGUUCGGGUGCGAUCUCUUCGCCAGCCUCCAGCUUUGGAUCAUCCCUGAAGGUGACGAUCCCACUACUCUAUAGAGCAUCAUAAAGAUGACCCGUGAAGUUCUUGCGAGUAUCUUCACCUCUAAAACUCAAGAAAACAUCAUAUUUCUUUCUAGAUAUGGGCGAAGAAGUCGAAGGUAACGACAGCAUGAGGAUGUAUGAAAGGAGAAGGAUAUCUGUAUCUGGUGUUCAAAAUCAGAAAAUAGAUCGCCCGAUCCUCGCAAAGUAUAUGGGCAUAGGGGCGGAAAUUAGGGGUCAAAGAUGAGUGAUGGAUGUUCUUUCCAAUCCAAGAAGGUGAGACUUGGAACAGUGGAGGAUAUUAAAAAUGUUGGACGGUUUGUAUUUUACGUAUUUAAUAAGAUUUUGACAAUAAUCAUUAGAAUAUGUCUUUAAUAAUUAUCCUUCGUUAUGGGCUGCUUAAAAAGUUUACCAAACAACCUACUACUUGCAUCGACACGUGGAAAACCUCUAUCUCGAAAGAUAAAUCCAUUUGGGCUGGUUAAGAUUAUUUUUGGUUGGAAAUCGAUUCGAUUAAGCAACGAAUAAGUAAAAAUAGUAAAAAAAUUGAGAAAUUAAACACAUAAAUUUAACAUGAAAAAACUCUCCGAAGAGGAUAAAAAAUCACAGGUAAAGAUAAUUUUAUUAUAAGGGAAAAAGAACGAAGAGUAUAAAAGAUGGAGAUAAAAAUUAAAUCCCGAAAAUAAAGAACCCUCAAAAUAUAAACCAAAAUUCUCCAAAAGUAUCAUGAAUUCUAAUCUCUAAUGGAUGUAUUUUCUAAUAUUGUAAAAAAAUCUAUUUAUUGACUAAAUUUGUAUGUCAAAUAAUAAUAAAAUAAUCUAAACUAAUUAGAAUUUGAUUAAAAUAAACCAAUAGAGUUUAAUUGGAAGAUUAUUUCAGUUGUUGUAAGGAUCAUGAGUUAUAGUGGUGAUGCUGGGUGAAUUCACAGACAAAAUAGCCUCAAAGGUUGCUAUUUGACAGAGAUUGAGAUGCACUGUAAAAACAAAUUCCACCAAUUACCCUCUUGGAUUUCAACACCUGACAAGGCUUUCACCCGAAGAAGUGCUCUAAGCUUGGUAAGAAAGAGAAUCUCUUCAACCGGAGCAAUUUUCGCAUUAAAAGUAAAAUCGUUACGCGCCUAUAUCGACCAUAACGCCGCUGCACAACAGAGGAGCCACCACUGCUUAAUAUCAUCUUUAAUUUUAUUUUUCAUAGAAGUUUGGCUUUAAAGCUAAUGUCAAAUGGAUUUAUGGAUGGUAUUUAAUUAUAAAUUAGACAAGGCUUGAGGGGUGGUUUUAAUUUAUAAAUUUAGGAAGCUUUAAAUGUAAUUUAUAUGGUAAUUAUUAUAAUGCAACGAUUAAAGAAAGAAAAGUUUGUGCAGAAUUUUCAAAAUUGGAUGGCGCUGGAAUUAUAAGUUGCAAUGAAUAAAAGAAAGAAAAAGUUGUGCAGAACUUUCACCAUAUUCACUAAAUUAUACUGCUUGCCCCUCCUUUUCUUUUCAAAUAUUUAUUUAUUUUUGGUGACGGGUUCAUGCUUUUAAUUUCUUUAUUACUAUGAUUACGAAUCAAACUUUAUUUUAAUAUUUGUGGUGUUUUAUAAGUUGUUACAGGGAGAUGUUUUAUUGGGAUCAAUUACAUUAAAGAUCACUAAAUUAUUAAUAAGUUUAUAUUUUGGUCAUUGAAUUUUAAAAAGUUAUUAAAUAAUCGCUAAAUUAUUUAAAUUUUUUUAUUUAAGUCACUGAAUUAUCCAAAAAAAUUUAUUAAAAUUAGUUAUUCGUUACAUUUUUUUAUUUUUCUUUUAAAUAUACAUAUAUUUAUUAGGAAAGGGUCAAAGGUUUUGAUUUGUUUAUUAUUAGGGAUAAAUGUCAAAUUUAUAUAUGAACUUUGGUUCAAAGUGCAAUUUGAUACAUGCAUGAAUUUUGACUUGGUGCAAUUAUCCACAUGAAAUUUAAAUUGUGGUUCAUAUAUAUACAUGAAAUUUAAUUUUGAUUCAAUUGAACGCAUUUAAAGAAAUGAAUACAUAUAAUUAUUUUCACAUUGAAUAAAAGUUCAUGUCUUCUGUUAUUAUCAUGGGUGAUACAUGGAUUUAAAGGAGCUCAUGUGUUCAUAGCGAUGAACUAUUAUUGAGUGUUGAUUUUCACUUACCGUAGUUAAAGUGAGUUGGGAGAGAGUUUACUUAAUUGUAUAAUAGUGAGGUUGCACCAAGUUAGGCUUGAAUAAUUUUAUUGUAUUGUGAAGUUUAUAGUGGAUUCAUCUGACAGAUGUAGGACGAGUUUCAAACUACACAAUCAUCUUGGUUGUGCUCUUUAUUUUGCUUGUUGCAUGUGUCAACUCAAAAAUUAAUUUUUGUUUUUCAAAAAAUUUAAACUUAUAAUUAUAUCAAUAGUCUCCAUUAAAAUUUAUCUAUCAAAUUAAAUAAACAACUCAAAAAUUAACUUGUCUGCACAUAAUUAUAGAUAUUAAACUUUUUUAACUUUUUGAAUUUUUAAUGAUUUUUGUCUCCAUUAUUGUAAAAAUUUAAAUUAAUUCCCAAAUAUGUAAUGCUUGUGAUUAUUUUUGGUUGGGGAUCGACCCGAUUAAGCAACGAACAAGUAAAAAUAACGGAAGAAUUGAGAAAUUGAACACACAAAUUUAACAUGAAAAAACUCUCUGAAGAAGAUAAAAAAAUUACAGGCAAAGAUAAUUUUAUUAUAAUGGCCAAAGAAAGAAAAUUACAAAAGAUAGAGAUAAAAAAAACAAAUAAUUUUACUAUAUUUAGAGUAUAAAUACACAAGGUUGAAAUGAAGCAAUGGUGGAGUAGGAAGGCAGUGUUAUUAAAUACUAAAUAAUUGUUUUGUGAAAAGGGGAUAUUUUUACUUUUUUAUCCAUUACAUAUCACUGUUCCUGUCUUCCUUUCCAUGUUUUUGUAAAAACCAGAUUCCCACCAUUCUUUUCUCUUUGGUAAAUGUUGAUUGCUGAGAGGACAAUCUUUUUGCACAUUCCCGAACUCUAUGGACAUGAUUUUUUGCAUCUCAAUCAAAGGUUUGAAAAUCCCAUUCAAAGCUGCAAAGUUGAAAUUAUGUUUAGGAUUUUAUUUUACUUCCGAAUGGUAUCCAAGUAUUGAACUUUCAUGUUCGUAUUAUGGACACGAAUAGUCCAUCACAUCAAUCAAUGUUGCGGAUAUAAAGAAUACUUAAUUAUGGUAAAUAAGAAUCUAUUUGUACAAUUAAACAAAAACAGGGAAAAAGAGAAACUUAAUUAAAUAGGAGAAAAUAUCUUGAAAAGGCUAGUCAAGUAGUUUACCACAAUUACUGCUUCUUCUCUGAACGACCCAUUAUAAAAUUGAAUUUUGUUUUCAUCUGUUUAGGUCCUCUGUUUCCUCGUGGAUAUUACGUUUUCGUUUUACAGGGGAAGUGCUACCUGCGGAUCCAUCCUUGUCAGUAGAGUGAUGAUGGAUGUGCUCAAAGUUUAGAGAAGAUUGAGUGGUAUGUCACUGCAAAUCUUUCUCAUAGAUUAUUCUAACACCACACUUCUUCACCUUGAAAGAAGGAAAACCAUCUGCGCCUUUGAAAGACAUCUCAAGCUUAUCGCAUUCAUGAUCAGAGCAAUCCAUUGUCCAUGCAUAUUGUAAUUCACGAGAGAAAUAACGAAGAAAAAGGUGGUUGUUCGUUAUGGGCUGCUCCUAUUCCCCACCUAAACCAAUGAAACUGGGAUCGACCGUUCGAGGAUGUUUAACUUGAAAAACAGAUCCAUUAUGACUAGAUUAUCGGGAAUUUCUAUAAUGGAUAUAAGUUAUACUACCGAUAACCCUUUCAUCGGAAAAUGCAGCAGAAAGCAACUCCAAUCCAAUUUGUUUGGUAUAUGUGAAACGUUUUGUGAGUUUGUUUUUUAAAAUAAAGGUAAAUUUUAACAAUUAUUUUUUAAUCAUUAUUAGUAAUAUAAUUGAAAUCACAUGCAAUAUAUGUGACAUUAGAAAGUAGUGAUUAUGAAAAAUUGGAAUGUGCAAUACUCUUGAUGUGUUUAGAAAAGGUUAUAGUUAUAGAAAAAAUUAUAUAACCAUCAUGGCAUUGGUUGAAUUUGUUAACUUAAAUGUUUUAGAAAUCCAAUGUUUUAGAUUUUAAUCUCAAUUUUUUAUGAAAAGAUAAAAAAAAAAUUACUAUAAUAAUAUUUGUUACUUUUAAAAGUAGUAAGUUUUUUAGUCAUUUUUUAAAUAAGUUAAUAUCUAAUUGACUUAUGACUGAUAAAUAAAGUAUAAUAUAAAGUAUGUUUGGUUAAAAAUAAAAUUAGAUGAAAAUGAUAUAUAUUUAAAUAUAGAAUAAAUUAAAUUUUAUAUAAUGUAAGUUAUUAAUAUAGUAAAAUUGGAAAUAAUUUAAAGAUAAUUAUUAUAUUAGAAAAUAUAGGCAUUAAAGUUGAGGCAUUUUAAGAAAUUUACCAAAUUUUAUAUAAUGUAAAUCAUAAAAACUGUUCCUUAAUACCACCGCGCACGAUUAGCGCUGUUGGAACCGUUAGUCCCCUGCUUUAACUUUACCUCCAUAACAUGCCGAGACCAUGAAAGGCACUCAUUCCUUAAUACCAUAUAUAGUUCCUGCAACGCCACUACUGAUAACAAAGGCAUUUCUAUUUUACCAAAGUUUCUAGCAGCCAUAGCAAAAAGAGUACCCCAAUCAGUUCCUUCCACAGAAAAAGUUCUUUGAGCUCCAGAGAAACUCAAUGCUCUCCCAUUUCCUAGCGCCCAAUGGACACCAUUUACUACAUCUUCCAAAAUAUUGGACAAAACCCUCCAGAGAAGCGAGCAAUUAGAAGGAUGUAUUGAAGCCGACCAUCUACUUAUUACCCCAUACUCGUUUCCAAGGACUUCAACCCAUAGCACAUUCACGUUAGAAAUGACAUUAAAAGCUACCUUAAUCAUGCAAGCUUUGUUGUGGUCUCGUACUUUCCUCAACCUAACUCUACCAUUCUUCAAAGGCAUACAAAAUUUAUACCAGCUCACUAAUGUUGGUUUCCGAUUGCCAAAUGUUGACCCCAAAUGAAUCCUCGAACCAGCUUCUCAUUUUUGUUGCAAUUGCUUAAGUGAUCACCUAAAACAAGACCGUACAAAGAUUGAUCGGUCUAAAAUGAGAUAGUAAUUCCUGUCUUGCCACCUUGGGAACCAACACAAUAAGAGUUUGAUUCAAAAUAGAAGCAAACAUUUGAUAAUUUCAUUCUAUUGGUUUUUAAUUUGAAUAGUUCAUUCAUUUAAAACAAUCAUAAUUGUGCAUCAAUUAUGAAAGAAGUCACAAGAAAAUUGUGCAGUAAUCAAAUGCAAUUUUCUUCACUUUUAUCACGUCUUUGAGUUGGAGGAAAAGAUGGUCCAAUUGAGAUAUACUUGAAAAGUUUAAUGAUGAAUGAAAUGAAUUCACUAUUAUGUUAUGUCAACACUGUUAAAUUAAUAGUUCAAUCAGCAUUUUGCGUUAAAAAAUUCAUAAUUUGACUCAAUAAAAUGUUGAGAGCCAAAUUACUAAGAGGAAAUGAAUACGGGUCAACUUGUCAAAUUUUAUAAACACUAAGAACUUUUUUUUUUAUCAUUAUGCCUAAUUUUAAAGGUUUUAUUUACAUUACAAUUAAAUUACUAUUUGAAUUUACAUUUUAAAAACAACGUUCAUUUCAAUAUGUAUAAUUUACAUUACAUUACAUGAUAAAAACAACUAAUUAUAUUUUGCUAAUUCCCUAAAUUCGUCCAACUUGAUGACUUUUGUUGGUCCCUCACUUGCAUGAUCCUUUGAGCAGACUUUCAUGCUUCUAUUGGUCUAGGGGACAAACAUAAAACACCAUCAUUAUUUUUGUUGCAUUGAGAUCAUCUAUAUUAAUUUACCUCAAAUUGAGAAAUUUUUGUUGAUAUCACAUAAAUACAAUCAUUGAAAAUCUUACUCGUAUCGACCAAAAAUCAUAUUUUUAUUUCUCUAAACAAUAAGUACAUUAGACAAUAACAAAAAUGAAAUUAUUGAAUUUUGAAAAAAAAAUAUUGGAUAUGAAAAUGUCUCUCACAUGGGAAAGAUUUUCCAAAUAAUUAAAAGAGCAUACUUUUUUUUUUAAUAUUUGAACAAGUGUUAAAAAUAAACGUCUAAACUUAAAUACUUUGUAAAAAAUAUAAAUUGAAGAGUUAGAAUAAUAUUGUUUAUACUUCAAGCCAUGAAAUUUAAAUGGUACUUUUGUUAGAAGGAAUUAAACCUACUAUUAAGGACUUAUAUUUAAUCUUCCAAAUAUAUAAGAAAACAAUUUUGACUGAUUAAAUUGAACACAUAAAUUGAUUUCAAAUAAAAAUAAAAUUGUUUUUAACUCAGCCGAAAUUAUGAUCUAAUCCUCAUUAAAGGAUUUUCACCUUAUUAUUACAACCUAAAAAUAAAAUAUAGAUGUAAGUGAAUUUAUAUAAUGAGAAUAAAGUUUUAAUAAAUAAAAAAAUAAACCAAUCAAAAUGUACACAUUUCAAUUAUGUAAAAAGGAAUGAAUUAAGUGAAUAAAAUUUUAAAUGGUAUUUUUUAAAAAAAAAUUAGUAUAUAAUAAAAUGGUCAUAUCUCAUAUGCAAAUAAGUCUAGAAUGAUUACUUUAAAUGAAAUAAAAGAUGUAAACAAGGUAGAUGAGUAAAAAAAAAUUUAGUAGGACAAGGUUGGUUAAGUAAUUUACCAUAGUUAAUGCGUCUUCCCGGAUUGGCCAAUUAUAAAAAAUUGAAAAAAAGUUGCAUCCGUUUUGGUUGCGGCCCUUCUUCCUCCUCUUCAUCGUAGAUAUUAGGUUUCUAUUUUAUGUGAGAAGUGCUACCUACUGAUCCAUGGUUGUGAGCAGAGUGUUGGUGGAUGUGUUCAAAAUUUGGAGAAGAUUGAGUGGUACGGCACUGCAACUCUUUUAUCUCUUCCAAAUCUUUCUCAUACACUAUUCUAAAGCCACACUUCUUCACUUUACCACUGCAUCCCAUGAAAGACACCUCAAGCUCAUCGCAUUUUUUAUCUAAGCAAUGUGUUGUCCAUAAAUUAGUGGUUUCACAGUCGUCAUAUUUAUCCUCCAAGGAAGGAUAUAUUGUAUCACGCGACCAAUAACGAAGUAAAAGGUGAUCUUUCAUUAUUGGUUCACACAGCCCCCAGCCUCUCCAAUCAAUCCGUCGAUAAUUUCUACCUCGAAAGAUAGAUCCAUUACAGCUGGCUUGUUCAGAAUUUCUACAAUAGAUAUAUGCUCCACAACCGAUAUAUUCGUCAUCCCUUGAAGCAUCAUUACUGACAAAAACGCAGCAGCAAGCAACUCCAAUCCAUUGACUAUCUUUCUGAAGGUUGAUAGGCAGGGGUAUGUUAAUUGAAAUGGCACUUGUUUGUUGGCUAAACCAUUCUGGGAUUUCACUUCCGGGCAUAAUAAUAUCAAACUUUUUUCUUGAAUUUGCGAAUGCCUGCAAAAUAAAACACAAGUCGUUUGGUAACUAAAACCAUAAAUUCUCAAGUACGUAUGAGAUUUUGUAAGGGAGAAAAUGGAGAUUAAUCGACCUUAAGCUGUUUUCUCAGCACUGUUAAUGCAUUCAUAUUCUCGGCCAAUUUGAAGCAGUUAAUGGCUCUAAAGGCACCCGAACCUAUUAAAUUGCAUACUUCACGUAGUGUUAAUGCAUUGAUAUUCUCAGCCAAUUUGAAGCAGUUAAUGGCUCUAACGGCAGCCGAAUCCACUAAAUUGCAUACUUCAAGUGAAGAACAACCAUCUAGACACACGUGUCCUAACCUUGUCGGUAUCUCAGGCAACGAUUUAAGCAUCUUGCAAUAUGACAGUCCAAGAAACUGAAGCUCGGAUAUUCGAGUAAGAGAUGAAGGUAUGCUGAUGAAAUUGUUACCACUAAGACCAAGAUGUACCAAAGAGGAUAGACCAGAAAUAUAACUAUGAAUAUCUGAUUCACCAAGAGUGCACAUGUUGCAAUUUGACAAGUCAAGAAACCCAAGCUUCGAGAGUCCAGUAAGAGAUGCAGGUAUGCUGAUGAAAUUGUUACCACGAAGAUCAAGAUGUUUCAAAGAGGACAGGCCAGAAAUAUCACGUGGAAUAUCUCCUUCACAAAGAUUGCAGUCCCUUAGACUUAGCCGUCUUAAUGAACUCAAACCUGACAACAAAGGCAACAUUGGAGCCAUGGGAGUUGUCCUUCUUUCUUGGAUUACCUUGAAAAGAGAAGACAAAUUUGGUCGCAACUUUGCUUGCUGCAAAUUCUCCGAGAAAUUUUCAACUCUAUAACAACCAGAAAGCUCUAGAGUUUUUAUACGUUCCAUUUUCCCAUCAAUCUCCGGAAACCUUACAAGACUUGAGCAACCCGAAAAAAUUAAAGUUUCAAGAGAUUCCAUUCUAAUUUUUCCCGGAAGACUCCUAAGACUUUUGCAAUCUCUUAAAUUCAAAUGUUUAAGGCUCUUAAGCACUCCUAUUGAUGGAUGAACAUCCACUAAUUUGGUACAGCCUUCCAAAAUUAAAACUUCAAGAUUUGAUGCUGUUGUGAAGUCUGGUGUCUUGAUCAGGUCUUGGGAACCUUUGAGGUUCAUUAUUUUCAACUUAUACAAGGGCUGUUGAAGACAAUAAUAAAUUAGAGAGAAAAGAGAAAGCAUAAUAAUUCUCAUUUUUGUUUUUGUAUUUUUACCUUAAUCAGAGUUUAAUAAUUUAUAUUAAAAUAAGCUAAAACACAAGGAUAAGAUGAGUUAAUUCUUACUCUAUUUCCCUUCCAUAGUUGUUUAAUGUGACUAUAUGGUAAAAGAAGUGCAACAAGGUUGUCUGGUUGGAAGCUUGAAGGCAAGCAUCUUAAAGGAUAUCCUGUCCAUUCUAAAAGCCGUAGUUUAUUAGAAAGAUAUUUGAGAUCAUCACAAUUUGAUAGGCAAAGCACUUUGAGCAUUCUCAAGUUUUUCAUCUUUGAGAAGGUAUCGACACUCAAAUUGAGCAUCUUGCUCGAUUCCCUAAUAACCAUGAGUAAAACAAAAAUGAGAUUCAAAAUAUACAAAGACAUUCAAUAUCUAAAAGUUAUGUUGCACCGAUAGAUGAUAAAUUUCAUUUGUAAUUAAAAAAAAUCAUUCCAAAUUGGAAUGAGAAGGAAGACAAUGGGAGAGAUUUUUUAUUUUCAAAUGUUUUAUUUUCUUUCCUUCUCACUUUUCGCUAUACCAAGCAAUAGUGAGGAGGAAAAUAUAUUUUCCAUUCAAUUUUCCAUCUUUCCAGUCAAGUUUUCCAUCCCCUCAGUUUUCCACCCUUCUGAUUUUAUUUCCACUCUGCCAAGCAAAGCCAAAAGGUUUUUUGUUGUUGUUUUUUAUUGGAAUUUUUACAACAAAUAAUAACAAUAUUAAUAGUACAUAUUGAUAAAUUUAUAUGUAUGUUUUCUUACCUUUUAUUGUCGAUGAUCAUACCUAUGUUUUCUUACCUUUUAUUGUCGAUGAUCAUACCUUCAAUCACUUCGGUAGCCUAAAAGUAAUCAAAAAUAGACAAUAAGAAUACAAAAUAAAUUAUCUAAAUUGUACAAUAAAACUUUUGAAAUUUACAUAUAUGUUCAACAUUAUCACAAUCUUUUGGUCGAAAUAUAGGAAAUAAAAUAUUUUCAAAUGAGAGUAAUUCAAUAAAAUUAAACACUUAUAUUACAAAUCAUUAUUAAUAUUUAUAAUCAACAAAUGGAAAUUAUUUUAAAGCCACUCAAUGUUAGUUAAGGAUCGAUAUCUAAACCAAUUAGACUAAGCUUUGGAUUUACAUCAUAUAUUGAUAAAAAGAAAAUUUUGUAUAUAUUUUUGUUGAAUAAUUUACCGUGUUUUUUGUUAGGACAUGAUGAACAUCCCUUUCUUUCCACAAUCUACAACGCUUUCCAGGUUCAUCAACACAUUUUUCUUCAACAAUUUUUCUUCCCAUUUCUUGCAACAAGGCAUGCAUCCGCAAAUGUUGGUUGUCAUCACUAACUUUUAUGAGAGAUUUCUUAAUGAGAAUAUCGAUUCCAAUGUCUGGAAAAAACUCACAACCAUCCAAUACUUUCAUUACCAAAUCUCUCUUCUCACCAUUGAAAAAGCAUGCUAUAUCUAGAAAUAUAUUCUUCUCCUUUUCUUCCAAUCCAUCAAAGCUAAUUCUUAGCGCGUUAAGAAUUUCUUUGUUAGAAUCUUCUUUAAGUCUUUCGAUUGCACUUCUCCAUUGAACUAUAUCUCUAUCGCACAAAAAUGAACCCAAAACUUCAAGAGCUAAGGGGAGACCACCAGCAUAACAUACAACAUGUCCAGAAAGCUCAAUGAAAUCAUCUUUUGGCACUGUAUCACUAUGGAAAGCUUUCAAAUUGAAAAGUCUAAGUGCAUCGUCUGGAUUCAAUGUUUUAGGCUUAUACACACCAUCGACUCCGUAAGAUCGGAGUAAAUGCUCAUCUCUUGUUGUUACAAUGAUUCGACUCCCUAAACCAAACCAAUCACGCCUUCCAACCAAGCAUUUCAAGUGUUGUACAUUAUCAACAUCAUCAAGAACAACAAGAACCUUUUCACUAGACAACCUGCGGCUAAUUAUGGCAUUCCCUUCAUGAACAUUGAAAAAAUUGAAGCAUUCAUUUGGCAAGAUUUGAGAAAGAAGUUGUUUCUGUAAAGGAACAAGUCCGCAUUUGUUUGAAACUUCUCGAAUAUCAGCAAGAAAGCUUUUGCCUUCAAAAUGAGGUGACAUUUGAGUGUAAACAACCCUCGCAAGAGUUGUUUUACCGAUGCCACCCAUUCCGCAAAUUCCUAUAAUGCGGACAUCAUCUUCCCCUAUGUUUAUUUUCGAAUACAACUCCUUCAAAGGUAAGCUAAUUCCAACCAAUUCAUCAUGAACAAUUGGAUAUGUCUGACAUAAUUUGGCUGAUAUCUUCCUAACAAUGUCUCCGAUAAACUCUGGUUCAUUCCUACAAUGAAAUAAAAAAUUGUUUCUAUCUCUCAGAGGCUCUUUUUCAUUUUUAGUUCAAUGAAUCAUGAAAUAUAAUAUAGUUGGAAGCAAAGAAAAAGCAAGAAUAAGACAGUAAGAUAUAUUAUGGCAUCAAAAUACACAACUUUCUCGUUAGAAUUCUUAAUUAAACACAAAAUUAUAAAAAAUUACAUGCAAUCUAGAAAAAAACAAUUUUUUAGUCAUUAAAAUUAGGAAAUAGAGAAGAAAUGAAAGAAUCAUUCCUUAUGUAAAUGCCAUCCUUAAUCUUAAAACUUCAGUCAAAGCAUUUCGCCACUUUUGGAUCUUGUCUUUAUCUUCCUUGUACCUCUCUUCAUGUUUGGCAAAGGCUUCUUCUACUUUUUCUUUUUGGUUUCUUAAAUCGGAUGGAUCCACAUGGUAGAAAAUUGGAAAUACUUUAUGUCCGUUAGCAUUUUUUUGUUGAACAAUCUCAGCAAGCUCCUCCAAGCACCAUCCUGAAAGGGCAUAGGUUUUUGAGAAAAUAAUUACCGAGCACCAUGAUUGCUGAAUUGCUUUGGAGAGUUCGGGUGCGAUCUCUUCGCCAGCCUCCAGCUUUGGAUCGUCCCUGAAGGUGACGAUCCCACUACUCUUUAGAGCAUCAUACAGAUGACCCGUGAAGUUCUUGCGAGUAUCUUCACCUCUAAAACUCAAGAAAACAUCAUAUUUCUUUCUAGAAAUGGGCGAAGAAGUCGAAGGUAACGACAGCAUGAGGAUGUAUGAAAGGAGAAGAAUAUCUCUAUCUGGUGUUCAAAAUCAGAAAAUAGAUCGCCCGAUACUCCCAAAGAAACUAGAAAAAGUAAGUAUAUGAGCAUAGGGGCGGAAAUUAGGGGUCAAAGAUGAGUGAUGGAUGUUCUUUCCAAGAAGAAUCCAAGAAGGUGAGAGUUGGCACAGUGGAGGCUAUUAAAAAUGUUGGACGGUUUGUAUUUUACAUAUUUAAUAAUUAUAGAGUAGAUAAGAUUAUGACAAUAAUAAUUAGAAUAUAUCUUUAAUAAUUAUCCUUCGUUAUGGGCUGGUUAAAAAGUUUACCAAACAACCAACUACUCGCAUCGACACGUGGAAAACUUCUAUCUCGAAAGACAGAUCCAUUUCGACUGGCUUGUCCAGAAUUUCUGCAAUGGAAGCAUCAUCACUGACAAAAAUGAGACAGGAAGCAACUCCAACCCGUUGACCAUUCUGAAUAUUGAGUGGUAGAGGUAUCUAAUUGUAGAGCCACCACUCUGUUGGCUAAACCAUUCUGGGAUUUCACAUCCAGGUACAAUAACAUCAAACAUUUGUCUUGAAUUUGCAAAUGCCUGCAAAAUGAAACUUCUGUCGCUUGGUAAAUAAAACCAGAAAUUCCCAAGUAUGAGAGGGAAAGAAAGAGAGAUUAAUUAAACUUGAGAUGUAUUUUCAACAAUGUUAAUGCAUUGAUGUUCUCAGCCAAUCUGUAGCAGUUAAUGGCUUUAAUGGAAGCUAAAUCCAAUAAAUUUCAUACUUUUGAUGGACUUGCAACUACUUCAAGUGAAGCACAACCAUCUAUGCACACUCUUGCUAUACUUGUUAGAAGCUCAGGCAACGAUUUAAGCUCAUUGCAAUUUCAUAACAUAAGCUCUUUGAGUAAGAGACGCAAGUAUGCUGAUGAAAUUGUUACCACUAAGAUCAAGAUCUGUCAAGGAGGAUAGGCAAGAAAUAUCACUAGGAAUAUCUCCUUCACGAAGAUUGCAGUCCCUUAGCUUUAACUCUCUUAAUGAACUCAAACUUGACAACGAAGGCAACGUUAGAGGCAUAAAACUUGUCCUUCCUUUUUGGGUUUCCUUGAAAGGAGAAGGAAGAUUUUGUUGUAACUUUGAUGGUCCCUUGCAUCCAUUGAAAGACAGAGCUUUAAGAUUUUUCAAUUGAAAAAUUAAGGAUGGUGGUUCUCUUAUGCUUGUUUUAGCUCUUCCAAAUAUUCUACUUGCUUCAUAUUCUCUGGCAAAUUUUUAACUUCACAACAACUAGAAAGAUUAAGAGUUUUUAGACCACCUAUUUUCCCUUCGAUCUCCAAAAACCUUACAAGAUUUGAGCAACCCAAAAGAAUUAUUGUUUCAAGAGAUUCCAUUCCAAUUUUGGUUGGAAGACUCCUAAGACUUUUGCACCCUCUUAAAUUCAAAAGUUUAAGCCUCCUAAGUACUCCCAAGGAUGGAUGACUUCUACAAUUCUUGUACAACCUUCCAAAACCAGAAUUUCAAGAUUUGGGGCCAUUGUGAAGUCCGGUGUCUUGAUUAGGUUUAGGGACACUUCAAGGUUGAUCACUUUCAACUUAUACAUAGGCUGUGAAAAACAAUAAUAAAUUAGAGAGAAAAGAGAAAAAAUAAGAAAACUUAUUUUUGUUGUUUAUUUUUUAUCUUAAGCUAAAAAAUAAGGAUUGGGUGAAUUAAUUUUACUCUAUUUCCCUUCCAUAAUUGUUCAAUGCUAUUGAAUGGUAAGAGAAGUGCAACAAGGUGGUCCGGUUGGAAGCUUAAAGACAAGGAUCCUAAAGGAUAUCCUAUGUAAUCUAAAAAUAGUUUUUCCAUUGAAAGAUAUUUGAAAUCAUCACAAUUUGAAGGCCAAAAGACUUUGAGUAAUUUCAACUCUUUUAUUUUCGAGAAGACAUCAACAUUCAAAUUAAGUGUCUUGAUCGAUUCUCUAAUAACCAUGGACAAAACAAAAAACUUAGCUUCAAAAUAUACAAAAGCAUUAAUACCUAAAAACCAUGUUGCCACGAUACUUUUUUUAAGUAUCCUAUAAGGUAUAUCUAAAUAUGGGCAUUAAGAUAUGACUCUUCAAGAAUUCUUUAAUACAUGAAAAAAUCUUUUGAAAAAUGAACAUACCCAUUUUGAACAGUUAACACGCACAAUUGACUCCGAAUUACCUAAACCUAAAAGUAUUAGAACUAAAAUUUUCAAUUAUAUUUGGUGCACUCGUAAUAUAUAAUUUUAUGCAUUAUUAGUGAACUAAAUGGAGACGCAUAAUUAAGGAUGAAAUUACUUGAAUUUAUUUUAAUAAAAUUUAAUGACAUGUUAUAAUCUAGUUUAUAUAUUGUCAAUUUAUCAAAUAUAAACUUUUAUUUUUCAUAAAAAAGAAACAUCUCUCUCUAUUUUUAUUUUUUUUAGAAAGAAUAAUGUGUUACUUGAUAAAUUCAUAAAUUAGCAUUCAAAUAUUAAGUACUAAGUGUUUUUUUUUUCACUAUAUAUUUUUUACAAAAUAAAACUAAAUAAUAACAAUAUUAAUAAUACACAUCGAUAAAAGUAGAUAUAUACUUUCCUACCUUUUAUUGUCGAUGAUCAUGCCUUCAAUCAAUAAAUAGGUUUUUUCUCAAAGCUAGUGAAUAUCACUUUUUAGGGAUUGUUAUAUAGAUGAAUUAGAAUAAACUUUAAGUUUAUAUUAUAUAUUGGUUAGAGAUCCAAUAAAAAAAAUUAGUAUGUAAAUUUUGUGGAAUGGCUUACACUGUUUUUUGUUAAGACACAAUGGAUGUCCCUUUUUUCUCACAAUUUGUAAUGUUUUUUCGGUUCAUCAACAUAUUUUUCUCUAUUAAUUUUUCUUCCCAUUUCUUGCAACAAGUCAUGCAUCCAAAAAUAUAUGUGUGUUCAUUGAAGAUCUUUCUCUUCUCCAUUGAAGAAACAUGCUAUAUCUAGAAAUAUAUUAUUCUCCCUAAUUUCUUCCAAUCUAUCAAAGCUUAUUUGACGUCUAUUGAGAAAUUCCUUAUUAGAAUCUAGUUUAAGUCUUUCGAUUCCACUUCUCCACUGAAAAGCAUCUCUACUGCACAAAAAAGAACCCAAAACUUCAAGAGUUAAGGGGAGACCACUAGCAUAAUGUACAGCAAGUUUAGAAAGGACAAAAUUGUAACAAUUUGGACUAAUUUGAAUAAAAUUAAGAACAUAGAUAGUGAUGCUCCAAAGGGAAUAUUAAGAUAAAGUGAGACCGAAAGGUAAUCUUGUCGUGCACCUGUUCAUUAGUCCCGGAUUAACUGGUAAGAUUGGAAGAUAAACUAGACCUAAUCUGUCUAAGUUGGCAAAAUUAAGACCGGAAGAUAAAAUAGAGCCACUUGGUAAUUAUGUGAUUUAUGUCAUUGGUCCAAGAUUUGGUGAACCACAUCGAAGUCAACCAACCCCUAUUAGUCAUUUGCUAGAUUGUCCUUCUAGUUUACAUUUCUUGUAAUUUAGUCCCUAGAGUAGAAUAUUUAAUUUUCUUGUAAACUUAUCUUUUAUGAAUCACCGUAAUAUAAAAUUGUAUCAAUAGCCACUUAGCCUCUAUUGUGUACGUUAGUUAUUGCUCAAUCGCCUAUUCCUUUGGGUUGAAUCCUUAGAAUACUUUUGCAUUUCAUUAUAACACUAUAAAUAUAAAUAUUAAAACUGACCUGUACGCUUGCAGUAAAAUUGGGCUUUUAAAAUAGUUAUAUAAAUUUAGUGUUUUAAGCACACGCAUGCAACCGGUCAGUAGUCAAUCUCACCCCAUUAGCCACCAUGACAUGAAGUUGACUAAAGUGCUCCACUAAUAAAUCCAACCUCUUAACCAGCUUAGAAUCUAGAAAAUUGUGUGUACUUCUUGAGUCAACCAGGAUAAUGACAUUGGAGUGACCAAUACUUGCUAAAAACUGCAUAGAAUUAUGUCUCUAUAAGCCUUGAAGGGCGUGUAAGGAUAAAACGGGGGCAGUGUGUUUCGUUUCCUAUUCUAACACUUUCAGUUGUUCAGGACAUUCUUGGAAUUCUUCAAACAUUGGACUCUUGCUUCCACCCUCAUGAUCUGAAUAAAGUUCCAGAACCAGCUGAUAAAGUUGAGACUUGGUGCACUUAUGACCUGGGGUGUAUUUGGAUGCACACCGAAAGCAAAGUCCCUUCUUUCUUCUCUCUUCUAUUUCAGCUUGAGAAAAGGGUUUGGUUUGGAAUUUUUACCCCGAGUUACUAUUUGGAGGUCCAUUUAGCCUUAUCGAGUUACAGUGGUGAUAUUGCACCUUGGGACCAAGAAUUAGGGGGCUAAGGUGACUUAUUCCCCCACUUACAUUCAAACUCUUCUUUGUGAACUUAGCCACAAUGCGUUCAACCUAUCGAGCUAUUUGAUAGUCUUCCACCAGUGUUUGAGCCUUGAACAACCGUAGAUACUACCCCAUCUCAGGUUUAAGAUUGCAAGUGAAAACACUAAGGACGUAAUCCUCAGUUAGAUGUAACUGAUUAAGCAAACUUACAAAACGGUCAUGGAAUUGGUCCAUUGACCCUUUCUCCUUGAGUGAAAUAUGUCCUAACAUGGGGUCUAAGAAGGAGUUAGAUCUAAAACGAUCCCUCAGCCCUCGAACAUAUAUCUCCCAAGUCAGGUGAUGUAAUCCCCCUGUCAUUGCACAAAAGUGAUGCCAAUCUAGGCCUUUACCUUCUAAGUGCAACAUUACCAUUCUAACAUUGGUCUACUUUAUUAUAUUUGCAGCUUCAAAGAAUCGUUCUAACUUGGACCACCAAUCUUGAUAAUCUGUCCCAUCAAAUCAUGGGCAUUCUAGCCGAAGAGUUUUACUGACAAAGUCCACAAGACCAACUUGAGAAAAAGUAUUCAUGUUUUCCAAAUCCGACACAGGUGAUAAUGUAAGUGGCUUUUUGGAAGGGAACUUAGGAGGAGAGCCUCCCAUAAUGCCCUUGUCUUGAACUCUUCCAGUUACACUGGUAGAAGCAUUUUGACCAAAAUAGUGUUCAAAAAGAGAGUGGAGUUCAGUUUGAAUCUCACCUUUGAUACUUUCAUGAAAAUCCUUUAACCGAGAUUCGAUCUUAGCAUCAAUCUAGCUAACCUCUAAUUGCAUCUGAGAGAGCUCGUGUUGCAGCACUCCCAUCUUUUUUUGUAACCUGGUGGUGACUCUAUCAUUUGCCAUAAAAAUCGGCUUCAGCUCUAAUACCUUUGUCAUGGGAAAAUCUUUAGGGCAGAAGAGAAAUUGGAUAGCAAGAGGAAGAAAAAGGAGUUGAGAGAAAUCAGAGAGAUAGAAGGAAAGAGAGAACUGUAUUCAUUCCAAUAGCUGCCUUCCCCUACCUUGAUUGGUGUUUUUAGGGCGGGUAACGACCCUCUCAAACAAAUUGACGGUUGUUAAUACAACUAUAGCAAAACGCACCAUUUUUUAGUAAAUGACAAAACGUCUCUAAACGCAGUCGUUUGGACCAUAUUUAACCCUCCCCCCUUAAACCUGUUGUUUCAUUAUAACAUUAAACUAAACGUUGUGUUUUACAAUAAUUAAGGCUAAAACAGAAGUAAACAGAAAUUAACAGAAAUUUAAACAUAAUUGUUGUCUUUAGUUCUAUUCCGUGACAUGCAAUCCUUUCACCGCCCUCUAGCCUCGGCUCAUCCCUAAAAGUGAUGAUUCCAUUCCUUUUUAGAGUAUCAUAAAGAUGAUCGGUGAAGUUCUUGUGAGCAUCUUCACCUUUAAAACUCAAGAAAACAUCAUAUCUAUAUCUAGAAAUGGAUGAGAAAGACAUGAGGAUGCCUGAGAAGAAAAAUAUAUCUCAAUCGAGCGUUCAAAAUCAAAACAAUAUUUCCCAUCAUUUAUUUUUCCAAAUGAAUAUGGAUAAUAAUAAUAUUAAAGCUUUUAAUCAAUUGUACAUAUCCUUUAUUAAAUUCCCAAUUUUUUUUGUAUUAAAUAUUACAAAAUCAUUCAGAUUCUCUUAAUAUGCUAAUCAAUUCUUGUUGGCUCAAAAAAAAAAAACAUUUUUGUACACGUAGACAAAUAUAUUGAAAAUUUGUCGUGAAUAUCAUGCCACCACCUCAUGAUAUUCAAUAAAUUAUUAAAUUUUGGACAGAAAAUUCACCAACCAAAGAUGAAAAAGUAAUUUUAAUUUGUAAUUCAAAUUAUUAAAUUUUAUCAGUAUUUUCUACAUUUUUCUAAUGUUUAAAGUAUUUAGGGUAUCAAAUGUGUAAUAUAUCCAUCAAAAUGUUCUGUUUUUUAAUUAUAUAAACCCCCAAAAAAAUUAAACAAAAACCAGAUAAUCCAUUCCUACAAGAUAAUCCACUCCAUUGAUUUGUGAUUUUGAGAUUUUAAUUUAAAAGAUAAAUAUCGAAAUAUAUAAUUUUUUAAAAAAUUAAAAACUGAGACCAGUAUAAAAUUAUUUAUCUCAGAUGGAAUGCUCGCUUAGGUGAUAUUUUAUUAGGAUCAGAUAAACGAUCUCAUCGAGAGAGAGAGUCAUCACAGGAUGGAUGAUUGGGAUUGGUAGACGAUGAGACUCCAUGAGUGUGGAGCCUUCCUUGAGUGGACAACGGCAGCGUUGGGUUCACACCUGCGCUUGGAGAGGACUUUGAAGCCUUCACAAAUCAUGUAAAGAAAUGAAAGAAAAUGAAGAAAAUGUUAAAAGCAUGUGCCAAACGUACCAUGAUUAGGGAAAUGAGAUACAACAUUACAAAGCAUGAGUCCAACUAAUAAAAUUAAAGCUGACUUGAAUUUUAUAGGAUGGGAUAAUUUCAUUUUCGGUCCUCUAUAAUCUGCACUAUAUGCGUAGCUCCUGAUUUUAUGUUAUGUUAUGUUAUUUAUUUAAUUCAAUCCCUACCGUUUUUUAGUUUUUUCUUAAUUAGUAUUUGUGACUCUUAACAUUAUUAUUGUAGGUAUUUAGAUAAUAUUUUUACUAUUUGUAUUUAUAAUUUAUUUUAAAUAUUAGAAGCUAUUAUUCUCUUAUCUUUAAUUACUUUUAAUAAUUUUGAACUGUUAUUAAACAAGUGCAAUCUAUUACACAUUAUAUUGUCAAAUAUAUUUCACGUGAUUAAAUUUUAUAAAAAUGAUAUGUAUAAAUUUGAAAUUUAUUUUUUCUACUUUUAUUUGUAAGAAUUUAAUUUAUUUAUUUUUAAAAUUUUAAAAUUCAGAUUUAAUUGUUAACACAAAUUUUUCCUUAAAUUUAUGUGAUAUUUUGAAAUUAAAAAAAAUACACAUUCACUUUCUAGAAAAAGUUGAAUUGGAAUUAUGGUAGAUAAAACGAAUGAAGCAUGAAGAUCACCGUGUGCCAAAUCCAACCACCUUCCUUUUCUUAUACAAAAUUUUAAAGAGUUUCACAAUGAUGCCCUCAAGAAAAGAAAGUAUACAUCAAAGGAAAAAGGAAUUGUGUAAUGAGCGAUGUCAGCUUCACCGAUUAUUUCUUCUUAUCACAUGCCAAAGCAAUUUCCUUGUACAGACUGGGAAAACUCCUGGAAUUUCGUCUAAGUUUGAACGAGGUCGAGUUUUAUAUAAUACUGGACUACCAAGUGUAUGAAGUCGACCAAACACAGAUUACUUCGUCUGUAAUAAAUAAUUAUCAUAAUGUCGUGUUUGAUAAUGCUUGUGUUGCUGCUUUUCCUCCUGGUUGUUGCAUCUUCAGAUAUCAACCAGGGCCAGUUUAGUUUCAAUGGUUACUUGAAUGUCGAGGGAGUUGCAGGCGUAGAUUCAAGUGGGCUGUUUACACUUACAAAUACCACAAGCCGAAUAAUUGGUCAGUUCUUCUACCAGAAUCCGAUCCAGUUCAAGAACUCCACAAAUGCAACUGUUUCCCCCUUCCCCACUACAUUCAUUUUUGCAAUUGUACCUGGAUACACCGACCUUGGUGGCCAUGGAUUGGCCUUCGUUAUCUCCCCUAACGAUGAAAUUUCUGGAGCUCUUCCCACCCACUAUCUCGGUCUUUUCAAGGAAACAAACAUAGGCUUAGACUCGAACCAUGUUGUAGCGAUUGAGCUGGGCACGGCCCGGACCAUUGCGGUCGGUGACAUAGACGGCAACCACGUCAGCAUCGACAUCAAUAGCCCAAGAUCAGUGACAGCUGCUUCUGCUGGGUAUUUCACUGAUGAAAGUGAGUUCAAAAAUCUCAACCUCAAGAGUGGAGAUCCAAUGCAGGUUUGGGUUGAAUACGACGGGCUCUAGAAGCAACUCGAUGUUACAUUGUACCCAAUCAAUGUAACGAAGCCAAAACCUCACUUUUAUACUUGAAAAAGGAUCUGUCUCCAUAUUUGUAUGAGUCUAUGUUUGUCGGCUUCUCGUCGUCCACCGGUGUUCUUGUAUCGUCGCACUACAUAUUGGCUAUUCUAAGGACAUGAUUUUUUUUGCAUCUCAAUCAAAGGUUUGAAAAGUUGAAUUCUUUGAGGUGCCCAUUCAUUAGACUAAGAAAGCUGAAAAGUUGAAAUUAUAUUUAUCAAAACAUAUCAUUUUUUAUUUAUAUCAAGGAUUUUAUCAUGUUAGUAUUAUGAACACGAAUAUAAUGAAUACUAAAUUAUGGUAAAUAAGAAUUUAUUUGUACGAUCAAACAAAAAAAGGGGAAAAAAUCAGAAAAGAGAAAGUUAUAAAAUUAACUAAAUAGGGGAAAAAAUAGUGAAAAGGCUAGUGAAGUAGUUUACCACAUUUAAUGCUUCUUCCCUGAUUUGGCAAUUAUAAAAUUGAAAGUUUUUUGCAUCCGUUUUGGUUGCGGCCCUUCUUCCUUCGCUUCAUCAUAGAUAUUAGGUUUCUGUUUUAUGUGAGAAGUCCUAUCUACUGAUCCAUCGUUGUGAGCAGAGUGUUGGUGGAUGUGAGAAGAUUGAGUGGUAUGUCACUGCAACUCUUUUAUUUCUUCCAAAUCUUUCUCAUACACUAUUCUAGCACCACACUUCUUCACCUUAGCAUAGUCUUCAUCAUUUGGGUUUGAGAAAAACACCUCAAACUCAUCACAUUUUUCAUCUGAGCAAUCUGUUGCCCAUAAAUUAUUGGUUUCACAAUGACCAUAUUUAUCCUCCAAUGAAAAUGGAUAUAAUUUAUCACGCGACCAAUAACGAAGAAAAAGGUGAUCUUUCAUUACGGGCCCGUUAUAUCGUUUACCUAAACACCAGCCGAGCCUAUCAACCACUCGAGGGUUUCUACCUCGAAAAAUAGAUCCAUUACAACUGGCUUCUUCAGAAUUUCUACAAUAGAUAAAUGCUCCACAACCGAUAGACUCGUCAUCCCUUGAAGCAUCAUUAUUGACAAAAAUGCAGCAACAAGCAACUCCAAUCCAUUGACUAUCUUUCGAGACGGGUAUCUUAAUUGAAGAGUCACUUCUUUGUUGGCUAAACCAUUCUGGGAUUUCACUUCCAGGCAUCAGAAUUUCAAACAUUUUUCUUGAAUUUGCGAAUGCCUGCAAAAUAAAACACAAGUCGUUUGGUAACUGAAACCAUAAAUUCUCAAGUAUGAGAUUUUGUAAGGGAGAAAAUAGAGAUUAAUCGACCUUAAGAUGUUUUUUUAGCAGUGUUAAUGCAUCGAUAUUUUCAGCCAAUUUGAAGCAGUUAAUGGCUCUAAUGAUACCCGAAUCCACUAAAUUGCAUACUUUUGAUGGACUUGCAACUACUUCAAGUGAAGAGCAAUCAUCUAUACGCACAUCUGCUAUACUUGUUAGAAGCUCUGGCAACGAUUUAAGCAUCUUGCAAUUUGAUAAUGCAAGGAAAUCAAGCCUGCUAAGUUGAGUAAGAGCCAAAGGAAUGGUGAUGAAAUUGUUACCCGUAAGAUAAAGAUAACUCAAAGAGGAUAGACCAUGAAUAUCUGCUUCACCAAGUGUGCACAUGUUGCAAUAUGACAAAUCAAGAAACCGAAGCUUCGAGAGCCCAGUAAGAGAUGCAGGUAUGCUGGUGAAAUUGUUACCACCAAGAUCAAGAUGUUUCAAGGAGGAUAGACUAGAAAUAUCACGUGGAAUAUCUCCUUCACAAAGAUUGCAGUCUCUUAGUUUUAGCUUUCUUAAUGAACUCAAACCAAACAGCGAAGGCAACAUCUGAGGCAUGGGAUUCUUCCUUCUUCCUACGAUUACCUUGAAAAGAGAAGACAAAUUUGGUCGUAACUUUGCUUGCUGCAAAUUCUCUGACAAAUUUUCAACUCUAUAACAACCAGAAAGAUCUAGAGUUUUUAGACGUUCCAUUUUUCUAUCAAUCCCCGGAAACCUUACAAGACUUGAGCAACCCGAAAGAAUUAAUGUUUCAAGAGAUUCCAUUCCAAUUUUGGUUGGAAGAUUCCUAAGACUUUUGCAAUCUCUUAAAUUCAAAAGUUUAAGGCUGUUAAGCACUCCGAUUGAUGGAUGAACAUCCACUAAUUUGGUACAACCUUCCAAAAUCAAAACUUCAAGAUUUGAUGCUGUUGUAAAGUCUGGUAUCUUGAUCAGGUUUUGGGACCCUUUGAGGUUCAUUAUUUUCAACUUAUACAAGGGCUGUUGAAGACCAUAAAUAAUUAGACAGAAAACAUAAUAAUGCUAAUUUUUGUAUUCUUUACCUUAACCAAAGUUUAAUCAUUUAUAUUAAAAUAAGCUAAAA